UCGGUUUAAGCAUUCACUUGGGUUUUUAAAUUGAAACAGAAAGUAGAUUUACAAAAAAUCUCUAAACUUAAAAUCAUGUAAUAAUAUACAUUUUUAUGCGUAGAAUCUAUAAAUAUCUAUCAUAUAUGUCCGUACAAAGCUCAUCUAACUAGAAGCAGGAAGACUAAGUAGAAUGCCUGGAACAGGACGUCGAUAUGGAUUUUUCAGAUGUACGAAUUGUAGAGCGCAGUGGGAAAGCGCCUAUGUGUUUUGUGUUCAGUGGAGUGACAGUGAAUACUAUGAACAAGAUUGUAAAAAGUGUAAUACAGCAUGUAGCCCUUACAGAGUUGAAAAGCUGAAAUGCUCCAAGUGUGGUCAGAGCGAUUGUAUUUGUUCCCGGGCGGAAAAAGCCGAACGCCAUACCGAUCCAAACAAGCCCCAUCGCAGUGAUCUUUGUCAUAAAUGUCAAAGUGGACGCCCAUGCAUGGAUUAAAAUCGAACUUCAUAAUUUCCUUUUCUGGAAACGUAGUUUUAUAGAUGGAGAAGAUGGUUAGAAACUGAAUUAAAAUGGCCCGAAUUUAUAUUCUUUAUUUAUUUUACGUAAAACUUGUUUUAUAGCUUAUCUUUUUGAGUUUAUACUUAAUUCUUGAAAUUUAAGUUUGUUUGUUAUAGUGAGGUGAAUCAUUACUACUGUAUUGGCCAAUGUAAAGCUAUGUCACAGAUUUCUGUAAAAUUUGGCAUACAUCUCUGGCUCGAUGAACUUCAACUGAAAAUCGAAAAAAUAAUGUAUUUAUCUCAAUUAUCAUUUGAAAUAUUACUGUUUGAAUUCUUACAAAAGGGGUGAACAUUUGUAUAGAAAGCAUAUAAAAUCGGCGAAAACCCUUCUUAAAUUUGUCUUAAAAUCGCCAAAUCUCUAAUUCUACUCCAUAGAUUUUUCUUAAAAAACUAUAUGUUGUUGAUACAUAAAUUUCCGUUAUAAUGAUGCAGAAUAAAGAUAGGGUCAUCGACUUCGUUUUUACGGUAUACAUCAUUCAAAGUUGCGUUCUUUGUGAAAAAAAUCCAACAAAACGUCGAAAUAAUCGUAACGUUAUCGCGUUACAUGCCGUAAAACGUUGGUUUUUGACGUUUUUCACCACCAACAAGGUUUCAAAUUGAUUAUUAGACAAACAACGAAGUCGGUGACCCUAUGAUUAUUUUAUAUCAUUAAAACAGAAAUGUAUGUGUCAACAAUAUAUAGCUUUUUAAGAAAAAUCUAUGGAGUAGAAUUAGAGAUUUGGCGAUUUUAAGACAAAUUUUAGAAGGUUUUUCGCCGAUUUUAUGUGCUUUCUAUACAAAUAUUCAUCCAUAUUAAAAGAAAUCAAUCUGCAAUUUUUCAGAUAAUAAAAGAGAUAAUGUAUUAUUUUUUCGAUUUUCAGUUGUAGUUCAACGAGCCAAAGAUGUAUGCAAAUUUUUAGCAAAAUCUGCGACAUAGCCCAUUUACUGUUCCUUGACCUUAAGAAUGUAUAUACGUCCUUGCGUGUACACACGGAGAAAUAAAUAUGCCGAAAUAAGUACAAUACUUCGUUUUGAAGAACUUAACUCUUGUUAUUAUUAUGUUUUUGAUUUAUUUGUUUAAUAUUUAUUUUAAUUUAUUUGAUUAAAAUAUAGAUUACACCUUAGUUGAAUACUGUCUGUGCCUGAUCAUUCUAAUACAGUUGUAAAUAUUUUACUUACCAGGUCAGGUACCUAACACAUACAUCAUAAAAACUAUGAAAGAUAUAUAGAUACUUAAAAAAAAAGAAGGACAAAAUGUACAUUUAAGCCGACGACUAUUUAUUCGAGUUAUAGUAUUGUCUCGAAUAAUUUAUAAGGAUUUUUUUUUAAAGUUUGAUACACAGAUAUGUGUGAAUACACAUUGGAUAAUGAAAACGUCUGAAUGAGACAACAAUUCAUUCAGCAAUAGCAUUUCCGAGAAGCUGUCAAAAUCGAUGAUGACAACUUUUUAAGACUAUUUGAAAACUAAAAACAUGAAUAUUUAUCGAUUGAUGCAUUUACUGUAAUUUUAAGAAUGAAACCGAAAGUAGACUUUCAGAAAAUCAUCCUGAACUUUGGAUGAUUUGUUUUAUCGUAUUAUCUUUUCCUAUCUUAUUUCAUCCAAACUAAAGGCAUGCGUGUGAGCUAUCAAUCGUUUUUUUUACACAAACGUCGGCUUACUAGAAGGAAAAAUAAGCAGAAUGCGAUUUUAAGAGUGUGACCGAAAU